GCCGGGGUAGUAGAGUGGUCUACGCCUCUGGAGUUCAGUAAUAAAUAUCCUCCUAAAUUCCUGUAAACGUGGAUGUCACGCACCAUACACCUUGUGGCUGCUAGUACACCACGGCCACAGAGACUGGACUCCAGAGGAGACGUCGGUUCGAAUCCGACUCCUGGCA